AUUGAACGCUGGCGGCAGGCCUAACACAUGCAAGUCGAGCGGAUGAAGGGAGCUUGUUCGUGGAUUUAGAGGCGGACGGGUGAGUAAUGCAUAGGAAUCUGCCUGGUAGUGGGGGGUAAUGUCCGGAAACGGGCGCUAAUAACACAUACGUGGAGAGGGUGAAAGAGGGGGGUCUUCGGACCUCACGCUAUCUGGUGAGCCUAGGUCGGAUUAGCUAGCUGGUGGGGUAAAGGCCUACUAAGGCGACGAUCCGUAACUGGUCUGUGUGGAUGAUCAGUCACACGGGAACGUGGACACCGUCAAUGCUACUGCGAGAGGCAGCAGUCGGCAAUAUUGGGCAGUGGGCGAGAGCCUGAUCCAAUCGUGCCGCGUGUGUGAAGAAGGUCUUCCGAUCGUAAAGCCCUUUUACGUGUGAUGAACAGCAUUCAGUUGAUACCUAGCUUUAUUGACGUUACCAACAAAAUAAGCACCGGCUAACUACGUG
rnacentral:rRNA from 1 species